rnacentral:rRNA from 1 species
CGCGAGAAUUUGAUAUGUGCCCGAUCAACAGCGGUUCACUUUGGGAUACCUUUUGGACCCGUCUUGAAACACGGACCAAGGAGUCUAUCUAGUAUGCGAGUAAAUGAGUACAUGAAACUUAUUUGCAGAAAAAACUUGACUGUUAUGGGACUACGAGCAGCAUUCGCGUGCUGCUCCUCAAUCCCGGGGUAUUUUUAUCAACAUAUGCAGCAAUGCAUAUGGAAAAUAUACCAUGAGCAUACUGGAUACGACCCGAAAGAUGGUGAACUAUGCCUGAUCAGGUUGAAGUCAGGGGAAACCCUGAUGGAGGACCGAAGCAGUUCUGACGUGCAAAUCGAUUGUCAGAAUUGGGCAUAGGGGCGAAAGACCAAUCGAACCAUCUAGUA